rnacentral:rRNA from 1 species
UGAGGAAUCUGUCCAUCGGCGGGGAUAGCCGGCCAACGGCCGGGUAAUACCGCGUACGUCGGCGGAAGCGCAUGCUUCUGCCGGGAAAGCAGCAAUGCACCGAUGGAGGACCUCGCGGCCUAUCAGCUUGUUGGCGGGGUAAUGGCCCACCAAGGCGACGACGGGUAGCUGGUCGUGG